CACAUCUGCAACCCUGAAACGUGUCAUAAUGAAGAGAGGAGCCCUGUGUGGAUCAUUCUAUCAAUAACUGGCUCUGGGAAGGCACCCAGGGGCUGUCCUGCUGGGCUGAGACUUGCCUCAUCAUCACUGUCUCUUUACAGCCAGCCAUGCAAACACACAGCAAACCCCAUGUUCCAUGGUGAUGCCUUAAUAGGGCAGCUCAGGCCUGCAUUGGGAUGCCCAGAAAGGCACCAAACUAUCCAGACAUGCUGCAGUGAUGAGUGGGGUUUAUAAGUGGGCCUCAGCCCCACAACAUGACCAACAGUACUAAAAGUCUGAGCCAUAACAAAAUCAGCCCCCCAUGGGCUGUCCCAUUGCCUCGCUCCUGCCUGUGACUCUGCCCAGCCAGGGCCCAUAGCUGCAAAUAUUAGCAGCAACGCAUCCAGUUAGCUCAGCCUCCUCAGAACCAGCUGCAGCCUGGCGCUUGGUCUUUUCGAAACAGCGGGUGGCAAAGCAACUCUUCCUGGAGGUAAAUUACUGUCUCUAGCUCUGCUGCAGGCUGAGCUCCUUUGUGUACAGUCGGAGCCUUAGGAGCCCCAGGGGGGCUGCGUUUGGACCCUCCUCCCCAGUUUGAACCUUUGCUCUCCACCCCCACCCCUCCUUUUUAUUCUUUUAAACUCUGCUGUGAAAAGCUAUAGCUCAAUCUGAUCAGGCAUCUUCACUCUUGUCCUGGGCAUGGCUCCUGUCCUCCGGCUGGGAGAGGAGGGAAAUACUGUGGGGGUUUCAGAGUCGCAGCCGUGUUAGUCUGUAUUUGCAAAAAGAAAAGGAGGACUUGUGGCACCUUAGAGACUCACAAAUUUAUUUGAGCAUAAGCUUUCGUGAGCUACAGCUCGCUUCAUCGGAUGUAUUCAGUGGAAAAUACAGUGGGGGUUGGGGAACGAGAUCUGGGCUGGUCCUUGUCUCUGCAAUUACAGCCACCGUGCCUCCCUCCCUCACUGCAGCAGCAUCUGUGGCUCAGGCUCUCCCUCCCCUGCUGCCCAAACAGGCAGCCUGUGCCCCUGCCUCCGUCACAUCCACCAUGCUGGAUAUUUUCAUCUUAAUGUUUUUUGCCAUCAUCGGCCUGGUGAUCCUCUCCUACAUCAUCUACCUGCUCUAGGAGCCCCAACAGCAGUGCAGGGGAAGGAUGAAGCGCUGCAGCCAGCCAUCCUGCCAGUCAAAGUAUCGUCCAGCUCUCAGGCCUGGGUCAGAGAAGUAUCACCUUUUCCUCAGCAGCAGCAGCCAUGCCAGAGCCAUCAGGAGAAAGAGUUAACCCUUUGCAAGCAACCCACUUCCUGAGCAGCUGGAGAGAGGAAAACCCCAGGAAGAGCAUCCAUUGGACAAUGCAGAUGUCAAGACUUAUAAAUGCCCUUGACAGGAUGUCUGAGCUGUAAUGCAUUUGAAGAGCAAAUACAAAGCAACCUGGCCUCAAGAAUGGACAGAGAGAGAGAGAGAGAGUGAUAAUGAAACCUCACUAUGGAGAAGUGUGUUGUUUUGUUUGCCAUGCUGGUAUUAAGGAAAUGUAACUUCAUUGUUCCAUGGCCACAUAGAUAUUCCCCCUUCUUGAGAAAAGUACCUGCUGGUUUUUAGUUUUAGAAAGUGUAUAUAUAUUUUAAUUUAAAAAAUUAGAAAAAAUUAAAAAAGCAACACAAAAUGAGAGCAAAAUCUGAAUAUCACAAUAGUAUUUUAUGCAGACAUGUCACCUUUCAUUUUAACUGAUCACCCACUGCUUAUCACUGGGCAUUGCUAAAAUGCAGCCAUUUCUGGGGUGGAGGGUGGCAAUUAGCUAGAAUACUUCAGGAAUGGCAGCAGGAAUUUUGGACUAUAAAGGAAAAUCCCUAUGCAUAAGAAAGAUACAAGGGACCUUUUGGCCCAAUUCAUCAAGACAGAUGGUGAUAAGCCUGUGUUUGAAAAAUGCUUUUAAACACAUUUCUGCCACUAAUCUGAGUGCCCAGCUUGUAUGGAGGGGGGCAACAACCGGAACACAGAUUAGUCUCAGAAACUGCUAGAUAGCUAGCAACUCGUACUCCAAGCCUGUUCGGGGAGAGGUGAAUGAUACCACGUGCCCAUCUGUUUUGAUGGAGGUGGGGGCCCCAUAGCUCCAAAUAAAGCCACUGGGAGGUGUGGGUGCUAAACCCCCUCGCCCAAGGUGAGUUGUGUAUCCAAACCACCUACUGCACCCAGCCAGGAGUUAGAUCAAUGGGAGGUCAGAGCUUAAUUUAUCAUUGCUUGGAGAGGUUUGAGUGAGAGGCUCUGGGGCCUUUUGAAAAAUUUCCCUGUAGGCCAAUGUGAUCCUGAAUCAAGCCACUGCCUCUGUGUAUUAUCCCCCUUACACAGCCUUCCAGUGUGCAGGACCAGGAAGGGUCUGGAGUGGGGAAUGGGUGGGAAAGAAAAAAGAGGCCAAAACACCAGGGCCAAGAUUUUAAAAAGUGGGCACUUUUGGUGCUCAUCUUGGACAGUCCAUAUUCGUGGCCACUUCCACAAAUCUUAGCCCACUCCCAGUGCUUGAAUUAUAAGAAAAAAAUGCCCGUAGGCCCUAAUCUUUUGUUGACUCAGUAGCAGUGAGCAGUGCAGGCAUAAAGCACUGGCCUGACCGCUGAAGUCAUGUUUAAUUCUUCCUCACCCUCCAGACACUUUUUAUUUUGGACAAAUGCAAACAGUUUUCUGGAGUUAAAAAUGGAAUGAACAACAACAUGAAAGGCUCAGUCAUCCACUGCUGUGUAAUAAGCAUCACAUGUAAUGUUUAUUUCAGAUUGUAUUGUAUAAUGAAAACAACUCUCCUAGAAGGUAAAAUUUUUGUAUGGGUGAUCUCCCUCUGCAGUUAAUUCUUGCUGGGAAGCAAUACACCCCUGGAAAUAGAAGUUUUGUAAUGGAAAAAAUCUUGAUGCAUCCUUAACUCACAUGAAUCAUAGAAUAUCAGGAUUGGAAGGGACCUCAGGAGGUCAUCUAGUCCACCCCCUGCUCAAAGCAGGACCAAUCCCCAACUAAAUCAUCCCCGCCAGGACUUUGUCAAGCCUGACCUUAAAAACUUCUAAGGAAGGAGAUUCCACCACCUCCUUAGAUAAUGCAUUCCAGUGUCUCACCAUCCUCCUAGUGAAAAAGUUUUUCCUAAUAUCCAACCUAGACCUCCCCCACUACAACUUGAGACCAUUACCCCCUCAUUCUGUCAUCUGCUACUAUUGAGAACAGUCUAGAUCCAUCGUCUUUGGAACCCCCUUUCAGGUAGUUGAAAGCAGCUAUCAAAUCCCCCCUCAUUCUUCUCUUCCGCAGACUAAACAAUCCCAGUUGCCUCAGCUUCUCCUCAUAAGUCAUGUGUUCCAGUCCCCUAAUCAUUUUUGUUGCCUUCCACGAUGUUUUCCAAUUUUUCCACAUCCUUCUUGAAGUGUGGGGCCCAAAACUGGACACAGUACUCCAGAUGAGGCAUCAUUAUCAUUAGGAGGAAAUUUACUCUGAAUUGUAGUGUUUGUGACUUAUAUAAGCACUUUUGGGGUACAAGUGGCAAGAAUUAUUUGAAAUCUGUUGAUAAGACUUUCUACAAAAAAAAUGUUUACAUAAAGAUGGGAAUUAUGGUUAUCAUUGCCAGCUGAGUACUUGACAUAGUACAAUUUCCUGUCAGUACAAAAUUUCCUGAGGGAGAAGUACAGUGCAUAUAUCUUUGCCUGUGGAUCCAAAUUGAUGUUCUCCAGUGCAUCUGCUUCAGCCCAAAUUGUGUUACACAGCAUGCCCUGCCAGGGCCCAAUUUUGGGUCACAGUCAGGGCUUUAAAAAGGGUGAGACCCCCAAAAUGAGGAACCUAACCUUCUCUCCUCCCCCACAAAACAGUUAAAAUGGAAACUCUAAAUGUUAUGGGAAGCAACUCUUGAAUAUAAAUAAAAUGUUCAAUAACCUCA